rnacentral:rRNA from 1 species
GAUGAACGCUGGCGGCGUGCCUAAUACAUGCAAGUCGAGCGAACAGACGAGGAGCUUGCUCCUCUGACGUUAGCGGCGGACGGGUGAGUAACACGUGGAUAACCUACCUAUAAGACUGGGAUAACUUCGGGAAACCGGAGCUAAUACCGGAUAAUAUAUUGAACCGCAUGGUUCAAUAGUGAAAAACGGUUUUGCUGUCACUUAUAGAUGGAUCCGCGCCGCAUUAGCUAGUUGGUAAGGUAACGGCUUACCAAGGCAACGAUGCGUAGCCGACCUGAGAGGGUGAUCGGCCACACUGGAACUGAGACACGGUCCAGACUCCUACGGGAGGCAGCAGUAGGGAGUCUUCCGCAAUGGGCGAAAGCUUGACGGAGCAACGCCGCGUGAGUGAUGAAGGUCUUCGGAUCGUAAAACUCUGUUAUUAGGGAAGAACAAAUGUGUAAGUAACUAUGCACGUCUUGACGGUACCUAAUCAGAAAGCCACGGCUAACUACGUG